GCAUAAAAUAAAGUGUAAAAAUUAAACUGUAACUUAGAAUCCAGAUUGCAUAAAAGGAAAUUUAUGGAUUGCAUAAAAUGACAAGUAUAAAAAUAAAGUAAAAAUUGGAAAAUAGAGCAUCCUCAGUCUCCCCUCUUCCUUUUUUUUUUGAAUUACAGAGCUCUCUCCCCCUUCAUUUUCUUUUGUUUCCUUCUUUCAAAAAAAAUAGAGCAUGGCUCUGUUUUCUUUCUUCGGAUCUCCCCUCCCCCUUCUUUGGCCCAACCGAGCGCUCCUUAUAUAGCUCGCCCCCACCCCUUGAAGCCGGCUGAGGAUCGAAACGGUCGCAGGAUCGCUGGGCGCUGAUCACGGAAGAGGAUCCCUCCUGGAUGGCGAGAAACGUAGGGGAGGCGAUGACGCUCGUGGGAAGAUUUUUGAAAUGGGGGAAAUAGGCAGACGCGGGGGAGGCGAUGAUGCGCAUCCCGGCUAGGAUGCUUCACGGAUGACGAGGACGGCCGUGGGAUCGUUAGGAGGAUCGCACGUGAACAACUAGAUCGAUGGAGCUGGCUGCGGGAUCGCUUGGAGGAAGACGUGGAUCCCCGCAGAGAUGGCUGGGAUCACGGGCUGGAGCGGCUUCUUGAUUGCAGACGUUUGUGAAUGCGGAUGGAAGAAGAGACGGAGGCGGGGGUCAUCCGGGAUGCUGGGAAUGGAAGGUAAUUCAGAUUGGCUGGAUGUGGAAUCACCGGAAGCUUCUUGGACGCCGGAUUGGAAGCGGGAUCAUGACUCGAAAUGGACAUGGGAGGCUGAAGAGUGCUGCGGGAUACUCAGACGCAGGAUCCGGAAAACUCGAAUGCGGCUGGAACGGGCGAAAGAAGCUGCUGGGAGGAAGAAGAACAGUGAACAUCAAAAAACUUUUCCGUAAUACUAUUCAUAUGAACAGUGUUUUUACUUAACACUGUUCAUAUGAACAGUUUCAUCUCAAACACUGUUCAUAUGAACAGUGUUUUCACGGAACACUGUUCAUAUGAACAGUUCUUCACGAAACACUAUUUAUAUGAACUGUGAUUUCAGCAAUGAAUAGUAACUUCGGGAAUAAAUAGUAAUUUCAGCUAUUGUUCAUGGGAUUGGAGGUUAAAAGGUCUUUUCUUUUGUGAUGAAGUGAGAGUGGUGCAAAGAGAAGGGAUCCAUGACUGAAAUAUGCCGGAUCGCAAUUGGUGUAGAUUAACUUCUGUCCAUAACAAUAGGGAUGAAUCGUGAUGAUGUAGUGGAAACAUAGGGAGUGACCCAGGUUUUAGGUAGGCUUGGCCCGGAAGGACCUUCAAUUACAAUAAGGAAACCAAAAUAAAGAAAUACAUCUUUUUAAGAGUUAUAUGCAGGAGAACUUUAGAAAAUUAGGUCCAAAAGAGUACUAAAAUAUGCACAAAUGUGUACUUAACACACCCCCAAAUCUGAAUUUUGCUGGUCCUCAAGCAAUAUCCUAGCUCACUUUCACACGCAUUGCGGUUGCAUUUAGCAGAUGCAACAAGCCGUUAAACCCCUAGGUUACCCUAGUGGACGAGUGUUGUCUUGUGAGGAUUUGCAGUGAAGUUAUCCACAAACUUCAUCAGUCAGAAAUUUCCAAUAUUUAACUCAAAAUUUGAACAAGUAUUGUUGUAUGAACCUUGAAUUGCAAGGACAAUAGAGACUUAUUGCUAUCAUAGUUAAGCAGGCUCUAACUCAAGUUUCAUUACACCCCAUCUAUCUGCUAACAAGUCAAGAAUGUAGUGAGGUGCAAGAUAAUAUCAUAUAAAUGAGUGGCUUUCACUUACUUCCAACAUGAUCAUUCUAAUUUUCAAGAUUUUCUAGAGUUAAAUGGUAAUGAACACCCAAGAUUUAACUUUUAAUCAGACUGAAUGCUAAGAAGAAUGACUUGUACAAUAUCUAGCCUUAUUAAGCUUUCUAGCUAACCCAUAUAGCGAGUGUUAGGCCAAUGACUUCCGAUCUAGAUGGUUCAAGGCACUAGGUGUAAAGACACCCUAACAGGCUUAAUAACUCAAGUCAACUAGGCUCCAAGGCCGAAUUAGUCACUCAGAGUUUAAUCUAAGUCAUCCUCACCUUUUUACGCGAACAUUCGCUGCUUGCCAGGCAAGAGGCUCGAUUACUUAGUGAGAAGACUUAAAAUCAACUCAUUUUAUUUAUUAUUAUUAUUAUUAUUAUUAUUAUUAUUAUUAUUUUGGUGUUCAUCACAUAUAUAACUUUAAAUUAUCCAGAAGAUUAAAAGUAUUCAUAUUAGUUGCAAAUAUUUACAUAUCCCACUAUUCAUGUGCUUACGUGUAGGUGCUAAAUCAUUUUCUAUCAUGUUAGCAGGAGACAGGUGGGAUGAAAACUCAAGCUAGAACUGCUAUCAUAUUUCCUAACUCAAAGCUAUUAUCAAAGCAAUUCCUAGUUUAUACUGUCAAAAAGAUUAUAAUUUGAGUUAAAAAUUUGAAAUUCUUUUCUUUUUUUCUUUUUUUUGGCACAAAAAUCUUUUUAGGUAGAAAAAUCAAAAAUAUUCUCACCCCUAUACCUAAAUUCAGCAUUAUCCUCAAUGUUGAAAAAAUUAAAACAGUAAUAGGAUAGAGGAGACAUUACUUGAUUUUGGAUCUUGAUAUGGCGGAUAAGUUGAAGAUUGAGAAAAAUACCCCCAAACAUGUAUGUUAGUAACUUAAUAAUAAUAAUUUUAAUCUUUACAUAUUGGGUUGCCUCCCAAGAGUGCUAAGUUUUAUGUCUUCAGCCAGACAAUUCUAGUUCACUCAUGAUAGACAGGGUCGGUUAGAAGUGUCUCCUCGACUUCUAGACUCAGAUACUCAAGGUAUGGUUUUAAACGAUAUCCAUUGACUUGAAAAGACCUACCAUCCUUGGUAUUGCAUAUUAUUACCGCACCAUGUGGAUCACUUUCUCUACCGUGUAUGGGCCAGUCCAAUGAGAUUUAAGUUUUCUCGAAAAUAUAUGUAAUCGAGAAUCAUAUAAAAGAACUUUUUGUCCUUGGUGAAACUCCUUACGAGUGAUCAUUUUAUCAUGCAUGACCUUCACGCGAUCCUUGUACUUCUUAACACACUUGUGAGCAUCAUUCCUAAUUUCUUCAAGCUCAUCGAGUUGAAGUUUUCUAUGUUCUCCUACCUUGUCGAGAUCGAAAUUUAGGCGUUUGAUUGCCCAAUAGGCCUUGUGUUCUAACUCGACAGGUAAUUAGCAAGACUUGCCAUAGAGAAUCCUUUAUGGGGACAUUUCAAUUGGUGUUUUGUAGGCCGUACGAUAUACCCACAAUGCAUCUAUUAACCUAAGGGACCAAUCCUUUCGAGAUGGAUUGAUAGUUUUCUCAAGGGUGGUCUUGAUUUUCCAAUUGGAAAUCUCAACUUGUCCACUCGUUUGUGGAUGAUACGGUGUACUGACCUUAUGGGUGAUGUUGUACUUCCUAGCAAGGGCUUUAAAAUUUCUAUUGCAAAAGUGUUUUCCCCCAUCACUAAUGAUAGCACGAGGGGUGCCAAAGCAAGCGAAGAUAGACUCCUUAAGAAACUUGAUCACCGCUUUGUGAUCAUUGGUCUUACACGCGACAGCCUCAAUCCACUUGGACACAUAGUCAACAGCAAGGAGUAUGUACUGGUGCCCAAACGACAUAGGAAAAGGACCCAUAAAAUCAAUACGCCAAACAUCAAAGAUUUCUACAAUUAAGAUCGGGUUCAGGGGCAUCUCAUUUCUUCUUGAAAUUUUUUCUAGUCUUUGACAUCGAUCACAUGUUUUACAAUACAUGUGUGAGUCAUGGAAUAGUGUGGGCCAAUAGAAUUCGCACUGCAAAACUUUUGCAGCCGUCUUUUUACCACUGAAAUGACCACCACAAGCAUGGUCAUGAUAAAAGGAAAGGACUUUCCUUUGUUCGUAUUCAGGGAUACACCGUCGGAUGAUCUGAUCAGGACAGUAUUUGAAUAAGUAUGGUUCAUCCCAAAAAUACCACUUCACACGAGUUAGGAAGCGAAAUUGCUCUUGCUUGGUCCAAGAGCUGGGCAUUUGUUCAGUAACGAGGUAGUUGACUAUGUUAGCAUACCAUGGAACAUUGAUAUGGAAAAUCAUCAUUAGUUGUUCAUCCGAAAAAGUUUCGGAUACAGGUAAGGAUUCUGCAGAUGACUCAACAAUUAGUCUAGACAAGUGGUCAGCCACUACAUUUUCAGAUCCCUUUUUAUCUCAAAUUUCGAGAUCAAAUUUCUGGAGCAAUAGGAUCCAACGAAUAAGCCUUGCCUUGGCAUCCUUUUUUGUGAGAAGGUACUUAAGGGCGGCAUGAUCAGAAUAAACAAGAACUUUAGAUCCUAUCAGGUAGGGACGAAAUUUAUCUAGAGCAAAAACAACCGCCAACAAUUCUUUUUCAAUGGUGGAAUAGUUUAGUUGGGCGUCAUUCAGGAUUUUGCUCGCAUAAUGAAUAACAUGGGGAAGCUUCCCCACUCGCUGACCCAAGACGACACCAUGGCAUACUCAGAUGGAUCACACAUGAUUUCAAAAGGAUGACUCCAAUCAGGAGACCUUAUGAUGGGUGCUGAAGUCAAUUCAGACUUCAGUCUUUCGAAAGCAGUUACACAAGUUGGUGAAAAAUUAAAAAUAGCAUCUUUAGCCAACAAAUCACAUAAGGGUUUUGAUAUUUUGCUAAAAUCUUUGAUAAAGCGGUGGUAAAAACCCGCAUGCCCUAAAAAUGAUCGAAUUUUUCUAACAGUUUUGGGAGGUGGCAAUUUAGCAAUAAAAUUUUACUUUGGUUUUAUCCACCUCAAUUCCCCUUUGUGACACAAUGUGUCCUAAAACAAUGCCUGAUUCUACCAUAAAAUGACACUUCUACCAAUUAAGAACUAAGUUUUUCUCUUUACAGCGUUCUACAACAAGUGUUGAGUGGUGCAAACAUUCAUCAAAAUUGGAUCCAAAUAUAGAAAAGUCAUCCAUGAAAACUUCUAAAAAUUUCUCUACCAUGUCGGAGAAAAUACUCAUCAUGCACUGCUAGAAUGUAGCCUGUGCAUUGCAUAGCCCAAAAGGCAUGCGACGAUAGGCAAAAGUGCCAUAAGGACAGGUGAACGUGGUUUUUUCUUGAUCCUCACGUGCAUUAGGGACUUGGUUAUAUCCAGAAUAACCAUCAAUGAAACAGUAAUGAGAGUGGCCACCUAGACGUUCUAGUAUUUGAUCGAUAAAGGGUAGAGAAAAGUGGUCUUUCCUAGUCAUGGCAUUAAGCUUUCUAUAGUCAAUGCAUACUCGCCAUCCCAUUUGGAUUCGAGUAGGAACUAACUCAUUGUGAUCAUUUCUUACUAUUGUGUUGCCAGACUUUUUGGGUACGACUUGAACUGGGCUUACCCACUGACUAUCAGAAAUAGGAUAUGUAAUCCCUGCAUCUAAAAGCUUGAUGACCUCGGCUCAAACUACAUCCUUCAUGACUGGAUUAAGUAGCCUUUGUGGCUCUCUAGAGAUUUUUGCAUCCUCUUCUUGAUGGAUCUUAUGUUGGACCACAGAAGGACUAAUCCCCUUAAUAUCAGCUAUAGACCAACCGAUAGCUUCCUGAUUCUUUCGAAGGUACUUAACAACUUCUCUUCCUGUUCUUUAGUCAGAUUCGAUGCAAUUAUAACAGGUAAGGUCUUGUUGUCUCCAAGAAAUGCAUACUUCAAAAUUUUCGGGAAGAUCUUUAAGUUCUAGCUGGGGAGGUUUGACAUUGGAUGGCACUAGCUGAGGUUCCAAAAUAGGCAAUGAUUCGAACUUGGUAGCCCAUUUGCUAGUAUCCAUCACAGGAAUAGAAUCUAACAAUGUGUUUACCUCCUGAUUGGAUUCACAAUCUUGACCGAAAUUAGCCAAACAUCUUUCUAAUGGAUCAGAAUAACUAGACUCUUCAAAAGAACUACUAAUUAUGUUCUCGAUCAUGUGAAUGAUGGUGAGCGUGCAGAGGGCUAAGCAUGAAUUUCAGAAAAUUUUUAUGCGAAAAGAACGGGUUAAACAUUUUAACCCAAAACAUGCUUGAUAUUUUAGAUAUUUUAACUCUGGUACCAGUCGAAGACAGUCUUCAACUGCACAUCGCAUGUGGCGCGGGCUCAGUCCCAAUACAUAGGGUGACACCCGCGCGUGCCUAUCAAAGCACUCAUCAUAUGAGCCCCCGGGUGGAGAGCCACGCUUCAUCACACGAUCACGUGUGAGAGUUUCCGGAAAUCGGAUAGUCUCCACUAAUCCUUUGCUUUGACACCAAAUAUCACAAAGCCCUCAGAUCUCGAGGAUUGUGUAAUUCAAAUAAAUAUGCAUAAAUCACAUCUUCUUGUGAUUUGAAGAUUGAGAUCAUAUCUCAAUCAUAAAAGAGAUCAGAUCUCUUACCUUUAGAAGGGGGUUCCUUCAAGGAUGCUUCACAGCCGCACAAGCGUCCGGCCUCGAUGACUCGUCCACGCGAAACUCCGGAAUGAUCAGCUUCCCGGAGAGUGCUAGCUCGCAGGGAGGUAGAAGGUUGGCUAAAAGGGAGAAGGAAGAAGAUGGACCUUCACAGCUCAAGAACUCCUUCUUGGGCUUUCACCUUCAGAACUACUCUCUCCUCUCACUCUCUUUCUCUGGUGCUCU
rnacentral:lncRNA from 1 species